AUUGAACGCUGGCGGCAUGCCUUACACAUGCAAGUCGAACGGUAACAGGUCUUCGGAUGCUGACGAGUGGCGAACGGGUGAGUAAUACAUCGGAACGUGCCCGAUCGUGGGGGAUAACGAGGCGAAAGCUUUGCUAAUACCGCAUACGAUCUACGGAUGAAAGCGGGGGAUCUUCGGACCUCGCGCGGACGGAGCGGCCGAUGGCAGAUUAGGUAGUUGGUGGGAUAAAAGCUUACCAAGCCGACGAUCUGUAGCUGGUCUGAGAGGAUGAUCAGCCACACUGGGACUGAGACACGGCCCAGACUCCUACGGGAGGCAGCAGUGGGGAAUUUUGGACAAUGGGCGAAAGCCUGAUCCAGCCAUGCCGCGUGCAGGAUGAAGGCCUUCGGGUUGUAAACUGCUUUUGUACGGAACGAAAAGCCUCUUUCUAAUAAAGAGAGGUCAUGACGGUACCGUAAGAAUAAGCACCGGCUAACUACGU
rnacentral:rRNA from 1 species